AUACAAAGUGUAAGUCAUUUCUUGAAUUCAUAGAUUUCUCCUCUUCUCUGUGGAUUGCGUUAUGAAAGUGACAACUCCAUUAAUUCUGAAAUGGGGUUAUGUUUUUACGAAUUGUAAACCCAUUUUUGGGGUUAGGUUUUAUGCAACUAAAAAGAUUGGUAAAUUGAAAGAAGAAGAAUGUCAUAUACCUCGUGCAGUGAGGAAAGAAGCUCAAGCUGCUUUGCUAGACUACUUGCAUUCCACUAGAAGUUUGCAGUUUAUGGAUGCUGAACAUAUGAGUAAAAACUCACCCUUUUUUCUUUCCAAAUUAUUACAAAGAAUUGAUAAUGAAACUGAUAUUCGACGUUCUCUAACUCGAUUCUUGCGAUAUCAUCCAAUCAAUGAAUUCGAACCAUUCUUUGAGAGCAUUGGUCUGAAACAUUGUCACUACUUGUCAUUUCUUCCCAGAGAUCUCAUGUUUUUAAAUGAUGAUCAAAGGUUGCUCCAUACCUAUCACAUCUUGUGUAAUUAUGGUAUUUCAAGAAAUAAGAUAGGAAGAAUCUUUGCUGAAGCUCCAGAAGUUUUUAGAUAUGAUCCUGGAGUUUUGGACUUGAAACUUGCUUCUUUUCACGGGGCUGGGCUAGAUCAGUCUACUGUCAUUAAGCUUGUUAGUGCAAGUCCUCAUCUUUUGAUUGGGAAUGUACACAAGGAAUUUUUUCAAGUUGUUGAGGAAUUAAAGAAAAUAGGAGUUGAAUACAGUUGGAUUGAGGAGCAAUUGAAUGGAAAUUCUAUCAAUUGGAGCCAGUUAUUCGAGCUCAUAUGCUUCUUGAAAGGCUUGGGCUUCACUGAUCAACAAUUAGGAAAAUUGAUUUGUCGAGUUCCUGGUCUUCUCCUUGAUUGCUCCGGACGCACUACAUUUUUGCUAAUUGGAUUCUGGUUGAAAUUUGGUUUUGAGAAGCCUGAAUUACUUGAUGUAUUUCUACGCUUACCACAAAUUCCAAUAACCACAUUUGUUUUCAAUAUGAGGCAAUGCUAUCAGUUCUUGAUUGAGAUCGAGAUGCCUGUCCUAGACAUUGGAAAUAUCGUUCGUUCAUACCCUACAUUGCUAGGCUCAUGUGUUUUGAAGAAAGCUACAAGCUUGCUAACUAUCCUGAAUACGGGGAAGAAGCGGCUUUGUAGUGUGAUCAAGGAGAAUCCAGAAUUUUUGAGGAAUUUGGUUCGUGGAGCCAAAGUUGAACAGUUACCAAUAGAUGAGGAGGAGCUAAGAUCCAAAAUGAUGAAAACUAAGUUCCUUUUGGAUUUGGGUUUUGCUGAGAACUCGAGCGAAAUGGAGAAAGCUCUCAAAGUAUUUAGAGGAAAAGGGGUGGAGCUCCAAGAGAGGUUUGAUUGUUUGGUAAAUGCUGGUUUGGAUCGAAAGCAUGUUGCUUCAAUGCUGAAAAUAUAUCCGCAAGUACUCAAUCAAAGGAAAGAAGUACUUGAGACAAAGAUUGAUUUUCUAUUGAAUAUAUUGGGUCAUCCAGUGUCUACUCUAAUUUCGUUUCCAUCUUACCUAAACUACACAAUUCAAAGAAUCAUGCUUAGGAUUUCAAUGUAUAAUUGGCUCAAAGAUCAAGGAAAAGUGGAUGCAACAUUGGCUUUGAGCACUAUCUUAGCUUCCUCAGAGAAAUUAUUCAUGAAGACUUAUGUAAGUCCUCACCCUAAAGGCCUUGAAGUCUGGCAAGAUCUGAAAAGAGAGAUAUAUCCUGAUUAAGUGAGAUAUCCUGAGUCGUUCCGUCUGGUUGCAUUGGCAACGGAAAGUCUAAAGCUUGAAGUCUCUUUAAAGCGCAGUCUCCUGCUUAAGUUAAGAUGAGUACCAGUUCUAAAUGUGUUAACUUUGAGUGAAACGAAAAGGAGCAGGCACCCAGAAAACUGCACCAUGGCUAUCAGUGCCACAAUUUGGAGACUGGGACCAAAAAGGUGU